AUUUAUAUAGUUUAUACAUCAAAACAUUUCAUUUUCACUGAAAAAAAAAAUUAAAUUUUAUAAAUU
rnacentral:tRNA from 1 species